rnacentral:rRNA from 5 species
AAAAUUAGAGUGUUCAAAGCAGGCAGAUCCAAUUUUCUGCCACCGAAUACAUUAGCAUGGGAUAAUGGAAUAGGACCCUGUCCUCCUAUUUUCAGUUGGUUUUGGCAGCGCGAGGACUAGGGUAAUGAUUAAUAGGGAUAGUUGGGGGCAUUAAUAUUUAAUUGUCAGAGGUGAAAUUCUUGGAUUUAUGAAAGAUUAACUUCUGCGAAAGCAUCUGCCAAGGAUGUUUUCAUUAAUCAAGAACGAAAGUUAGGGGAUCGAAGACGAUCAGAUACCGUCGUAGUCUUAACCAUAAACGAUGCCGACCAGCGAUUAGGAGACGUUGAAUACAAAACACCACCAUCGGCGCGGUCGUCCUUGGCGUCUCGGUCCUUCACGGGGCCGGGGCGCGGGGGCGGCUUAGCCCGGUGGCACCGGUGAA